rnacentral:rRNA from 1 species
AUUGAACGCUGGCGGCAUGCCUUACACAUGCAAGUCGAACGGUAACGCGGGGCAACCUGGCGACGAGUGGCGAACGGGUGAGUAAUGCAUCGGAACGUGCCCAGUAGUGGGGGAUAGCCCGGCGAAAGCCGGAUUAAUACCGCCUACGACCUACGGUUGAAAGGGGGGGAUGGCAAGGCCUCUCGCUAUUGGAGCGGCCGAUGUCAGAUUAGGUAGUUGGUGGGGUAAAGGCCUACCAAGCCGACGAUCUGUAGCUGGUCUGAGAGGACGACCAGCCACACUGGGACUGAGACACGGCCCAGACUCCUACGGGAGGCAGCAGUGGGGAAUUUUGGACAAUGGGCGCAAGCCUGAUCCAGCCAUGCCGCGUGCGGGAAGAAGGCCUUCGGGUUGUAAACCGCUUUUGUCAGGGAAGAAAUCUUCUGGGUUAAUACCUCGGGAGGAUGACGGUACCUGAAGAAUAAGCACCGGCUAACUACGUGCCAGCCGCCGCAGUAACAC